UCCACAAGGGGGUUCGGCGGCCGAAACUCCCUUCGGCGGCCGAACCUGGUUUCUGCCAGAAGGGCAGAAACUUGGUUCACAUGAACCCCUUGCCUCCCAAAACCUCAAAUCAUGCAUAAAUCUCAACCAAAACAUGCAUACAAGUUCCUAGGGGUCUCAAACAGUCAUAUACCCCAACUACAACACUUCAAACACACACAAUCAACACACAUUGUUCAAAACAUCAAUAUUAACCCAUAACUCAACAUAUAACCUAACAUGCAUUUCUACCCAUAGAUCUUGCAUAAAACUUAUUUAAAACACAUAAGGAGCUUAAGAUCGGCUCUUACCUCUUGAAGAUCGAGAGGGAGACGACCUAAACUUGGAGAUCCACGAAAAUGAGCUCCUGAGUUCCCAAAGCUCCAAAACUUGGUUUAAAUGUUCAAAACUUGCAAUGUGAGUUUAAAACUCAAGAAAAAUGGAAGAGAUUUGGAGGAAGAACACAAGAGUUGCAAAGGGAAGGUCGGAA
rnacentral:lncRNA from 1 species